GACGAACGCUGGCGGCGUGCCUAAUACAUGCAAGUCGAGCGAGACUCUUCGGAGUCUAGCGGCGGACGGGUGAGUAACACGUGGGCAACCUGCCUGUAAGACUGGGAUAACACCGGGAAACCGGUGCUAAUACCGGAUAAUCCUUUUCCUCUCAUGAGGGAAAGCUGAAAGUCGGUUUCGGCUGACACUUACAGAUGGGCCCGCGGCGCAUUAGCUAGUUGGUGAGGUAACGGCUCACCAAGGCGACGAUGCGUAGCCGACCUGAGAGGGUGAUCGGCCACACUGGGACUGAGACACGGCCCAGACUCCUACGGGAGGCAGCAGUAGGGAAUCUUCCACAAUGGACGAAAGUCUGAUGGAGCAACGCCGCGUGAGCGAUGAUGGCCUUCGGGUCGUAAAGCUCUGUUGUUAGGGAAGAACAAGUACCGGAGUAACUGCCGGUACCUUGACGGUACCUAACCAGAAAGCCACGGCUAACUACGUGCCAGCAGCCGCAGUAAAAC
rnacentral:rRNA from 1 species